rnacentral:rRNA from 1 species
AUUGAACGCUGGCGGCAGGCUUAACACAUGCACGUCGAACGAGUGGCGGACGGGUGAGUAAUGCUUGGGAAUUUAGCUUCUGGAGGGCGAUAACUACGGGAAACUGUAGCUACUACCGCGUACCAUAGGAUGAGCCCAAGUGGGAUUAGUUAGUUGGUGAGGUAAAGGCUCACGCAGCCGACGAUCUCUAGCUGGUCUGAGAGGAUGACCAGCAACACUGGGACUGAGACACGGCCCAGACGCCUACGGGAGGCAGCAGUGGGGAAUAUUGCGCAAUGGGGGCAACCUGACGCAGCCAUGCCGCGUGAAUGAAGAAGGCCUUCGGGUUGUAAAGUUCUUUCGGUAGCGAGGCGUUAACUACAGAAGAAGCACCGGCUAACUCCGUGCCAGCAGCCGCGGUAAUUC